AUUGAACGCUGGCGGCAUGCUUUACACAUGCAAGUCGAACGGUAACAGGCCGCAAGGUGCUGACGAGUGGCGAACGGGUGAGUAAUGCAUCGGAACGUGCCCAGUCGUGGGGGAUAACGCAGCGAAAGCUGCGCUAAAACCGCAUACGAUCUAUGGAUGAAAGCGGGGGACCGUAAGGCCUCGCGCGAUUGGAGCGGCCGAUGUCAGAUUAGGUAGUUGGUGGGGUAAAGGCUCACCAAGCCAACGAUCUGUAGCUGGUCUGAGAGGACGACCAGCCACACUGGGACUGAGACACGGCCCAGACUCCUACGGGAGGCAGCAGUGGGGAAUUUUGGACAAUGGGCGCAAGCCUGAUCCAGCAAUGCCGCGUGCAGGAAGAAGGCCUUCGGGUUGUAAACUGCUUUUGUACGGAACGAAACGGCUCUGGUUAAUACCUGGGGUCGAUGACGGUACCGGAAGAAUAAGGACCGGCUAACUACGUGCCAGCCGCCGCAGUAA
rnacentral:rRNA from 1 species